rnacentral:rRNA from 2 species
UUACCGAGUUUACAACUCCCAAACCCAAUGUGAACGUUACCAAACUGUUGCCUCGGCGGGAUCUCUGCCCCGGGUGCGUCGCAGCCCCGGACCAAGGCGCCCGCCGGAGGACCAACCAAAACUCUUAUUGUAUACCCCCUCGCGGGUUUUUUUUAUAAUCUGAGCCUUCUCGGCGCCUCUCGUAGGCGUUUCGAAAAUGAAUCAAAACUUUCAACAACGGAUCUCUUGGUUCUGGCAUCGAUGAAGAACGCAGCGAAAUGCGAUAAGUAAUGUGAAUUGCAGAAUUCAGUGAAUCAUCGAAUCUUUGAACGCACAUUGCGCCCGCCAGUAUUCUGGCGGGCAUGCCUGUCCGAGCGUCAUUUCAACCCUCGAACCCCUCCGGGGGGUCGGCGUUGGGGAUCGGCCCUCCCUUAGCGGGUGGCCGUCUCCGAAAUACAGUGGCGGUCUCGCCGCAGCCUCUCCUGCGCAGUAGUUUGCACACUCGCAUCGGGAGCGCGGCGCGUCCACAGCCGUUAAACACCCAACUUCUGAAAUGUUGACCUCG